GGGCAAACGUGGAUUACGUGUUAAGGUUUUGUGGUCAUGGGCGUUGAAAACGAGGUUGUUUAUCAUCAGCAAUUCGCCUUCUUCUUUACUAAACCUGUUAAACUAGUAAAGUUAGUUCACAAGGCACCUUAAAAGUUCCUUCAGAUGUAUGUGGAUAUGAAAAUUACAAUGAUUUUUUACCAAAUGUGUGAGGUAAACACCCCAUUAUAGAGUGCUAAUUAAAUUUUCCACCAGCUUGGAGUUAUAUUAAUGAUCAUAUGCAUGUACUCACUUCUCAAAUUGCGACAGUACAGGCAUAAAUUAGUAGCCCAUGGAACUUGUCAGAAACUAGCAGCAAAGUUCUAUGGGCCUUCCUUGGUUCUAAAGAAGAUAGGAACCGUGGCUUACAGAAUGCAAUUACCCCCAUCUGCAACAAUUCACCCAGUUUUUCAUGUGUCACAACUUAAGAAGCACGUUGGUAAUAGAAUGGUGCAGGCAAGCUUACCUAGUUUCUCACAGGAACAGACUCCUCAACCUCGAGCAGUUUUAAAUAGAAGAAUGCUCAAGAAGGGACAUCAGGCUGCUACACAAGCUCUUAUUCACUGGGACAUCCUCUCACCAGAAGACGCCACCUGGGAGUUUGCAGACGACCUCAAGCGCAGGUUCCCACCUUCUCUCUUGAGGACAAGGUCGAAUUGAAGAGGGGAGCAUUGUCAGGUGUGGCAACCUGAAGAAGAGAAGAAGCUACAGUAUCUCAAGAUUGAUUUAUAAAUCAAAUCGUUAGGCUAAGUAACUAUUGUGCAAUACGCACCGUUUCAUUAAGUGCGAUACGCACCGUUUUAUUUGAAGAACAAACCCUGUGUCCGUAGGCUAGAACGCAGCGUUUUAUCAUCUCUUUUCAGUUAUUUUAUUGCAAGGUACUGUGCAUUCUGGGCUGCUUAGAAUCA